CGGUCGACGUGAACAAUGGCGACGCUUCAGGCGACCCGACGUGUCGCCCGUGUUGCACACGUGUGCAACGGAUGGUUGUUCCGCUACAAACGCCGAUCGA
rnacentral:tRNA from 1 species